rnacentral:lncRNA from 10 species
CUUACCGAGCCCCUGCUAUGUCCUCCGGCCCUUACAGAGUAAGGGUAAUCUCCAAGGUUCACAACAGGCCCUUUGUCUGGGUGGCCAGACCAGUCAGGAUUUGAACUCAGUUUUCCAAACAGUAACAAUUCCCAUCUGUUCAGCAGCUACUAUGCUUUACAGACUUGUGACAUUCAUACCACACCUGGGGGGGUGAGCUAAUCAUUCCCUCAUUCUACAGAUGAGGCAGCUGAGACUUCAGGAGGCCUCUGCUCACACGCCACCUCCUUGAGAGGCCUUGCCAGACCACCCUGUUAAAGUAGUCACCCUCACGCCUGCCCAAUAUGCCCUACCCUCUUCCCUAUUUUAUCUUCAUAGCAUGCAUCACGACCUGCUAAUAUUGUGUGUCUCCACUGCAUUUUGUCUGUCUCCCUAACUAGCUCCAGGUCAGUUUAUCCUAGUGGCUUGCACUCCAGCGGUCUCUCAGACUAGCCCCGUGGGGCAAGUUAUUUUGAUGAUCUGUGCUUCCUUCGGGGUAAUGAUAGGACCUUACCUGAAAGGUUUCUUGUGAGGGUUAAAUGAGUUAAUAUCGGUUAAGUGUUGGCCGCUGCCAUUGUUUUGUCCCAGAGCUGUAGCUCCAGGGUCUUUAACAGUAAACAAUAGGUUGUCAAUAAAUAUGUAUUAAAUUUAAAAA